UGGGGAAUUUUGGACAAUGGGGGCAACCCUGAUCCAGCCAUGCCGCGUGCGGGAAGAAGGCCUUCGGGUUGUAAACCGCUUUUGUCAGGGAAGAAAUCUUUCGGGUCAAUACCCCGGGGGGAUGACGGUACCUGGAGAAUAAGCACCGGCUAACUACGUGCCAGCAGCCGCGGUAAUACGUAGGGUGCAAGCGUUAAUCGGAAUUACUGGGCGUAAAGCGUGCGCAGGCGGUCGUGCAAGACAGAUGUGAAAUCCCCGGGCUCAACCUGGGAACUGCAUUUGUGACUGCACGACUGGAGUGCGGCAGAGGGGGAUGGAAUUCCGCGUGUAGCAGUGAAAUGCGUAGAUAUGCGGAGGAACACCGAUGGCGAAGGCAAUCCCCGUGGGCCUGCACUGACGCUC
rnacentral:rRNA from 1 species